CAGUAGCCGCGGUAAUACGUAGGUCCCGAGCGUUGUCCGGAUUUAUUGGGCGUAAAGCGGGCGCAGGCGGUUAGAUAAGUCUGAAGUUAAAGGCUGUGGCUUAACCAUAGUACGCUUUGGAAACUGUUUAACUUGAGUGCAGAAGGGGAGAGUGGAAUUCCAUGUGUAGCGGUGAAAUGCGUAGAUAUAUGGAGGAACACCGGUGGCGAAAGCGGCUCUCUGGUCUGUCACUGACGCUGAGGCUCGAAAGCGUGGGUAGCGAACAGGAUUAGAGACCCCAGUAGUCCCUGUCUCUUAUACA
rnacentral:rRNA from 1 species